GCGAAAGUGGCGGAAUUGGUAGACGCACUGGAUUUAGGUUCCAGCGUUGUAAGACGUGAGAGUUCGAGUCUCUCCUUUCGCACCA
rnacentral:tRNA from 1 species